rnacentral:rRNA from 1 species
AGAGUAUGAUACUGGCUCAGGACGAACGCUGGCGGCGUGGAUUAGGCAUGCAAGUCGACGAAAAGGGGUCCUUCGGGGCCCUGGAAAGUGGCGAACGGGUGAGUAACACGUAGGUAACCUGCCCUUCGGUUUGGGAUAACGCCUCGAAAGAGGUGCUAAUACCGAGCAAGACCAACUUCCCGCAUGGAAAGAUGGUGAAAGGCGGCCUCUCGAAGAAGCUGUCGCCGAAGGAUGGGCCUGCGGCCUAUUAGCUAGUUGGUGAGGUAAAAGCUCACCAAGGCUUCGAUGGGUAGCUGGUCUGAGAGGAUGGUCAGCCACACUGGGACUGAGACACUGCCCAGACUCCUACGGGAGGCUGCAGUCGAGAAUAUUUGGCAAUAGGGGAAACCCUGACCAUGCGACGCCGCGUGAGGGAUGAAGGCCUUCGGGUCGUAAACCUUUGUGUUAUGGGAAGAAUCUCCUUCUAGUGAACAACUAGGAGGCUUGACGGUACCAUAGUAGAAAGCCCCGGCUAACUACGUGCCAGCAGCUGCGGUAAUACGUAGGGGGCGAGCGUUGUCCGGAGUUAUUGGGCGUAAAGGGCGUCUAGGCGGCUGCGUUAGUCUGGUGUGAAAUCGCUGGGCUCAACCGAGCAAUUGCAUUGGAUACUGCGUAGCUUGAGUACAGGAGAGGGAAGUGGAAUGAGCAGUGUAGCGGUGAAAUGCUUAGAUAUUGCUCAGAACACCGGUGGCGAAGGCGGCUUCCUGGCCUGAUACUGACGCUGAAGCGCGAAAGCUAGGGGAGCGAACGGGAUUAGAUACCCCGGUAGUCCUAGCCGUAAACGAUGAGUACUAAGUGUAGGAGGUAUCGACCCCUUCUGUGCUGUAGUUAACACAUUAAGUACUCCGCCUGGGGAAUACGGUCGCAAGGUUAAAACUCAAGGUAAUUGACGGGGGCCCGCACAAGCGGUGGAGCAUGUCGCUCAAUUCGAGGCAACGCGAAGAACCUUAUCCAGGGCUUGACAUCCCGCGCUAUCCGUGGAAACACGGGGUUCCCUUCGGGGACGCGGUGACAGGUGCUGCAUGGCUGUCGUCAGCUCGUGUCGUGAGAUGUUGGGUUAAGUCCCGCAACGAGCGCAACCCUUGUCCUUAGUUGCCAGCGGGUAAUGCCGGGAACUCUAAGGAGACUGCCUGCGACGAGCAGGAGGAAGGUGGGGAUGACGUCAAGUCCGCAUGGCCCUUAUGCCCUGGGCUGCACACGUGCUACAAUGGUCGGUACAAAGGGUCGCCAAACCGCAAGGUGGAGCCAAUCCCAAAAAGCCGGCCUCAGUUCGGAUUGGAGUCUGCAACUCGACUCCAUGAAGUUGGAAUCGCUAGUAAUCGCGAAUCAGCAGGUCGCGGUGAAUACGUUCCCGGGCCUUGUACACACCGCCCGUCACGCCAUGAAAGCUAGUAGCGUCCGAAGCAGAUGAGCUAACCCGCAAGGGGGGCAGUCUUCGAAGACGAGACUGGUAAUUGGGGCGAAGUCGGAACAAGGUA